rnacentral:rRNA from 1 species
AGUGAACGCUGGCGGUAGGCCUAACACAUGCAAGUCGAACGGCAGCACAGUAAGAGCUUGCUCUUACGGGUGGCGAGUGGCGGACGGGUGAGGAAUACAUCGGAAUCUACUUUUUCGUGGGGGAUAACGUAGGGAAACUUACGCUAAUACCGCAUACGGCCUACGGGUGAAAGCAGGGGAUCUUCGGACCUUGCGCGAUUGAAUGAGCCGAUGUCGGAUUAGCUAGUUGGCGGGGUAAAGGCCCACCAAGGCGACGAUCCGUAGCUGGUCUGAGAGGAUGAUCGGCCACACUGGAACUGAGACACGGUCCAGACUCCUACGGGAGGCAGCAGUGGGGAAUAUUGGCCAAUGGGCGCAAGCCUGCUCCAGCCAUACCGCGUGGGUGAGGAAGGCCUUCGGGUUGUAAAGCCCUUUUGUUGGGAAAGAAAAGCAGCAGGUUAAAACCCCGCUGUUCUGACGGUACCCAAAGAGUAAGCACCGGCUAACUUCGUG